AUACUUACCUGGCAGGGGAAAUACUACGACCACUAAUGUGGCUUUCCUAGUUGCAGAGGAGAACUACUUUUUUGGCAGGGGGUAUUAUCUUGACCCAGGUAAGGCCUCC
rnacentral:snRNA from 1 species